rnacentral:rRNA from 1 species
CAGCCGCCACGGGAAUACAGAGGGUGCGAGCGUUAAUCGGAUUUACUGGGCGUAAAGCGUGCGUAGGCGGCUUUUUAAGUCGGAUGUGAAAUCCCUGAGCUUAACUUAGGAAUUGCAUUCGAUACUGGGAAGCUAGAGUAUGGGAGAGGAUGGUAGAAUUCCAGGUGUAGCGGUAAAAUGCGUAGAGAUCUGGAGGAAUACCGAUGGCGAAGGCAGCCAUCUGGCCUAAUACUGACGCUGAGGUACGAAAGCAUGGGGAGCAAACAGGAUUAGAUACCCCUGUAGUCCCUGUCUCUUAUAC